GCGCCACAAGGUGAAUCAUUCGUCGGGAUCCAUACAAGGUUUGGAUCUGUUGGUCGGCGUAGGGUUGUCAAGCAGAUGUGGUUGUCCACCAGUCACCAAGGUCUUCUUCGGUAACUAAAAGUUGGCAAUCCUAAUCAAAUUCUGGAAAAGGGAGAAUGGAGUUCAAGGUAAACAUAUUAGAGUUCAAGGUAAAAUAGAGAAUGGAAGACUAAAGAACUUUUAUUAAUCAAAAAGGUAAUUUAAAAAGUUUAGAUAUUACCAAAAGUGAUACCUUAUAUAUUCUUAUUUACUGUUUAAUGGUGGAACAAGAUCUAUAUAGCCAAUCCGAAACAGUUGAAACCAUUAAUUUGUUGUUGUUUAAUGGA